GGGAGGCAGCAGUGAGGAAUAUUGGUCAAUGGACGAGAGUCUGAACCAGCCAAGUAGCGUGAAGGAUGACUGCCUAUGGGUUGUAAACUUCUUUUAUAUGGGAAUAAGUUUUCCACGUGUGGAAUUUUGUAUGUACCAUAUGAAUAAGGAUCGGCUAACUCCGUGCCAGCAGCCGCGGUAAUACGGAGGAUCCGAGCGUUAUCCGGAUUUAUUGGGUUUAAAGGGAGCGUAGGUGGACAGUUAAGUCAGUUGUGAAAGUUUGC
rnacentral:rRNA from 1 species